rnacentral:sRNA from 1 species
UCAGGCAUUGCUGAUGAGCGCUUAUCUCACAGCGCUCGCAACUGCCUAAUGUCAUUUAGAGCCUUUGACCACGGAUGUACUGGCACUGAGUUUAAAUGACGAACUGAAGGUCGGUGCAGAGUUGCCCCGGCCUUUUUU